rnacentral:rRNA from 1 species
GACGAACGCUGGCGGCGUGCUUAACACAUGCAAGUCGAACGGUGAAGCGCCUUCCUUUUUGGUGGGUGUGGAUGAGUGGCGAACGGGUGAGUAACACGUGAGUAACCUGCCCCCUUCUUCUGGAUAACCGCAUGAAAGUGUGGCUAAUACGGGAUAUUCUGGGUCUGUCGCAUGAUGGGUCUGGGAAAGAUAUUGUUUCGGUUGGGGAUGGGCUCGCGGCCUAUCAGCUUGUUGGUGGGGUGAUGGCCUACCAAGGCGGUGACGGGUAGCCGGCCUGAGAGGGUGGACGGUCACACUGGGAGUGAGACACGGCCCAGCCUCCUACGGGAGGCAGCAGGGAGGAAUAUUGAACAAUGGGCGCAAGCCUGAUGCAGCGACGCCGCGUGAGGGAUGGAGGCCGGCGGGUUGUGAACCUCUUUCGCCAGUGAAGCAGGCCUGCCUCGUUUGUGGGUGGGUUGACGGUAGCUGGACAAGAAGCGCCGGCUAACUACGUG